rnacentral:misc_RNA from 1 species
AAAAGAUUAACACUCAAUUUGGCAAGUUGUUCCUCACUCAACCCAGAGCAAGAGCUUCUUGAAGAAACUUCUCAUCUUCUGUCAUAGAUUCAUAAGGAAUAGAAAUCAAUGGAACACCAUCUGCUACCAAGACAGUAGUAUCAUCUGUAUCCUUUCCCCAAAUCCACUUAAAUACCGAAGCAUAAUCACCUUCACAAGUUAUUGACAUAAGUAACAAGACCAAUAAACGUAUAUACACCAUCCUGCUUUGUUUUUCUGAAAAGAUGACAAAAAAAUUCAACAAUUGAUAUUAUUUAUGGAAUAUUGAAUGACUUUUAAAUGACUAUCAGAAUUAAAUUAUCUAAAAUAAAAGUUGAGAAAAAUUAACUUCUAAAUGAUAUUGAGCAAAUAAUCAGAAUACAGAAUUAAAAAUCAAUUUUAGACUUACGACGUUAAAAAUACUCAGUUUCUUUCGUAAUGUUAUAUCACUUUCACCGAUGUAAAAUAUAUUUGUAAAAUAUUAUGCUAUAAAAUAUUAAAAUAUUAUUGUUAAGAAAAGCGAGUGCUUCAUUCAUUCCACCGGAAAUUUAUAGUAGUAGUGAGUGACAAACGAAAAUAGCUGCUUUACAGGUGAGAUUCUAUAUCGUGCGUUUAUUUAUUCUCGUUAUGCUUGGACUUUGCAACGGUUAUAGCGCUGCAGUUCAGUGGCGGAGAAAUUAGAAAGUGAAAUCAAAC